GAUUUUGGGAGCCUCCGUUGGCAAAGCUGCCUUGUUGAGCAAGAGGGGCCUGACGAGAAUUCCAUGAGCGCGCUUCCCGCAAGGAGCAAAGGGCAGCGGGAGCGUGUCCCUGCCUGGCCGGUGCCUCCCGGGGAUUUCGGACAGUGAAGGGACCGUGAGGAGGAGGAGGAGGAAGGCACCUGGGAAAUUCCUUCAGCUUCCCGGGCUCAUUCCCAGGCCAUGGCAGCCACGACGGUGACCGAUGCCGGCAGUGUGAGGAUCAUCACGGAGGUGAUCCCGGCCACGGAUCCCCGGGCGGCCCAGCUGGCCUCGGGCUCCCAGACGCCUGCGCCUGCCAGGACGUCAUUCCAAACACAAGGCUUCCGGAGGGCUCAUCCCAAGGUGUUGGGGGUGAGACACAGCCUUCCAGGGGCACAGCAGGGAUUGGGGAUCCGCAGGGGUUGUCUUGCUGGGUGGAGGGGAUAUUGGGACAGGUGCCCAUCCCAGUCCCCUCCCGGCACUGUGACGUGGGAUUGGGGUGGGAUGCGUCUCACAGCAAUGGGAUUGGGAUCCCUCUCCCUCAUCCUUCCCCAGACCAUCCACAUCUUCACUGGAAUUGUCCACAUCUGCUUUGGGAUCAUCCUGACAGCGUCGGAGCACAGGAACCCUUCCCUCCCUGUGGCCAGUGGGAUCCUCUUCUGGCUUGGGAUCCUGCUCCUAGUCUCGGGCUCGUUGCUGGUGGAAAGUGAAAGGAGAGACAGCCCCGUGCUGGUAAGAUCCAGGCUGGGAGGGACAACGUCUCCCCCCAUUCCUUAUGUCCCUUCCAGCAGCUGCCGGGACCCCUCCACAGCCUGGAUUCAUCCCACGGGAUCCACAGGCCAGUCUCCCCCUCAGGAAGUGCCCAGCUCUCCCACAUGGAGCACAGGACGGGGGUUGGGGUCACUGUGGGAUGAGGGGGAUGGAAGGUCCAGGAGCCCCUCAUGGCUUCUGGAAUCACUGUGGGAUGAGUGGGACAAAACUGGGCACCUUCUCCAGGAGUUCUUUGAUCCCAGUCUAAUAAUCCAUGUGGGAAGCAACCCUUCCUGGGGUCCGUGUCACCGGGUGCUUCCCGCAGAUCAAGACCUGCUGCGUGGUCAACGUGGGCAUUGUCCUGGGCACGCUGGUGGCCACUGGGAUCCACGGCACGGCCGUCACCCGGCACGUGCCCGGCUGCGAGAACCCCAAACCCUUCCAGACCCGCCCGGAAUGGUGCCUCAACACGCGCAGCAAGGUACGGACACCCAGGAUUUCAAGGAUCCAGGUCCUGUCCGGGUGGUGGAUCCCGGGAUAUUCCCUCUCUCCUCCUUGCAGACCCUGAGCAACGCGCUGGAUUCCACCUUCGUGCUCCUCGGCCUCCUGGAAUUCUGCGUGGCCGUGGCGGUGCUGGCGUUUGGAUACGACGCUGCCCGGCAGCACACAUACACCCAGCUGGUGAGGGAGGCGGGGAUCCCCGGGAAUCCCUGCAAGUCCCUGGAAUGCUGA
rnacentral:lncRNA from 13 species